rnacentral:rRNA from 1 species
GAGUUUGAUCAUGCUCAGAAUCAACGCUGGCGGCGUGCCUAACACAUGCAAGUCGAACGCGAAAGGGGCUUCGGUCCUGAGUAGAGUGGCGCACGGGUGAGUAACGCGUGGGAACCUGCCUUGAGGUUCGGGACAACCGCGGGAAACUGCGGCUGAUACCGGAUGAUGUCUGAGGACCAAAAGAUUUAUCGCCUUGAGAGGGGCCCGCGUCGGAUUAGGUAGUUGGUGAGGUAACGGCUCACCAAGCCUGCGAUCCGUAGCUGGUCUGAGAGGAUGGCCAGCCACACUGGGACUGAGACACGGCCCAGACUCCUACGGGAGGCAGCAGUGGGGAGUAUUGGACAAUGGGGGCAACCCUGAUCCAGCAAUGCCGCGUGGGUGAUGAAGGCCUUCGGUUGUAAG